rnacentral:tRNA from 1 species
CGAGGUGUAGCGCAGUUUGGUAGCGCACAUGGUUUGGGACCAUGGGGCCGGGGGUUCGAGUCCCUUCAUCUCCGCCA